rnacentral:tRNA from 1 species
GAGGUUGUGGCUCAAUGGUAGAGCACUUGUCUUGCAAUCAUGAGGCACUGGGUUCAAUCCUUAGCACCACA